AACGAACGCUGGCGGCAUGCCUAGCACAUGCAAGUCGAACGAGACCUUCGGGUCUAGUGGCGCACGGGUGCGUAACGCGUGGGAACCUGCCCUUAGGUUCGGAAUAACUCCCCGAAAGGGGUGCUAAUACCGGAUAAUGUCUUCGGACCAAAGAUUUAUCGCCUUUGGAUGGGCCCGCGUUGGAUUAGCUAGUUGGUAGGGUAAAAGCCUACCAAGGCGACGAUCCAUAGCUGGUCUGAGAGGAUGAUCAGCCACACUGGGACUGAGACACGGCCCAGACUCCUACGGGAGGCAGCAGUGGGGAAUAUUGGACAAUGGGCGAAAGUCUGAUCCAGCAAUGCCGCGUGAGUGAUGAAGGCCUUAGGGUUGUAAAGCUCUUUUACCCGGGAUGAUAAUGACAGUACCGGGAGAAUAAGCUCCGGCUAACUCCGUG
rnacentral:rRNA from 1 species